rnacentral:rRNA from 1 species
CCCUUAGAUGUUCUGGGCCGCACACGCGCUACACUGAAGGAGGCAGCAUGUACUCCUGGAUCGAAAGAUUUGGGUAACCCGCGAAUCUCCUUCGUGCUAGGGAUUGAGGUUUGCAAUUAUCCUUCAUGAACGAGGAAUUCCCAGUAAGUGCAAGUCAUAAGCUUGCGCUGACUACGUCCCUGCCCUUUGUACACACCGCCCGUCGCUACUACCGAUUGAAUGAUUUAGUGAGGACUUCGGACUGGGACCGAUGCGGCUUUCGGGCUGCGUCGGUAUUCUGGAAAGAUGUCCAAACUGUAUCAUUUAGAGGAAGUAAAANUCGUAACA